rnacentral:rRNA from 1 species
GUCUUUUUGAAAUAAUUUAAAGUCUAAUCUGCCCACUGAUAUUAUAUUAAAGGGCUGCAGUAUUUUGACUGUACAAAGGUAGCAUAAUCAUUAGUCUCUUAAUUGGUGACUUGUAUGAAUGAUUGGAUGAAAUAUAAACUGUUUCUUAUUUAUUUAUAGAAUUUAAUUUUUUCAUUAAAAAGUGAAAAUAAAUUUAAAAGACGAGAAGACCCCAUAGAGUUUUAUAUAUGAAAUAAUUUAAUAAUUAUAUUUAAGAGAAUUAAUUAAAAUUAUUUAUUAUAUUUUAUUGGGGUGAUAAAAAAAUUAAAAAAACUUUUUUAUAAUUUUUCCAUUAAUAAGUGAGUAGAUGAUCCAUUAUUAUUGAUUAAAAGAAAAAAUUACCUUGGGGAUAACAGCGUAAUUUUUUCUUUUAGUUCAAAUAGGAGAAAGAGUUUGCGACCUCGAUGUUGGAUUAAGAUAAAAUUUAAAUGCAAAAGUUUAAAAUUUUGAUCUGUUCGAUCAUUAAAAUCUUACAUGAUCUGAGUUCAAACCGGUGUAAGCCAGGUUGGUUUCUAUCUUUAAAUAAAUUAAAUAUUUUAGUACGAAAGGAUUGAAUAUUUAAAAUAAUUUUUAAUUUUAGAAUUUUAUUAAUUUGAUUAUAGAAUUAAAAUUUUUAUUUUAUUGAUAUUAUAAAU